rnacentral:lncRNA from 1 species
AAGCAACUUAGAACAAAUCUCAAAGCAUACUCAGUUUGGACGCCCAGACAGAAAAAAGUAAAUUUAUAACAAAUAUCAAAACAUACUCCAACCUACUAUACUGGAUUGGACGUGGAAGAGAAAAAUACAAUCAGAAGCAUACACCAACUUGGACUCGGACAUGGAAAACAUACACCAACUUGGACUCGGACAUGGAACCAAUCGGGAACCAUACACCAACUCGGACUGGCAAAGGUUCUAUACUAAUAUAAAUACCCAGCUCUCAGAGAUUGAACGCCCAGAGAAAAAAGUGCCACCAGCUAAGUACACGCCAAGCAAUCUCCAAGCUACAGCGCCAACCAAAACAAAGGAGCAGUCAAGUAUGUUCCUUGUCUCCCGUUUUCGUUCUUCCCAAUGAAUUCUUGAAUCUCACACAUGGUAUUUGAUACUCAUCAGUCCUAAAAAAAAUGCAAAAAUCAACCAUGAGAUGUAGGAUCAAGAGAACAGAUUUUUACAUAAAUUUUCUUUUUCAUAACAAAAGCAAUAUUACCUAUGUUUGAUGUCCAGUAAAAAAAUACCAUGUUUCAUGCAUCUCACAUGCCAGGAUGCUCAUCCGAUACAUAUUGACUUCACAUUCCAGGCCAGUCUAGCAACAAAUUAUCUUGUAUUGCAUUACAAAAAAUUUCCUUCCAUCCUGCAGGAAAACAUUUGGACCAUAAUCUCAAAUCAUGGAUGCUAAGGAAAAAAAAGAAAGAGGGAUAGAGAGCGGUAUGAACACAUGACCGAUGAAGAAAGGCAUGAGAAACUCAAAAAACGCCGUGAAGCCUAUCAACGAAACAAAGUAUCAGGAAAGACACCAGAACAGACACCAGAACAGAAGGCGGCAAAAUGUGCACAAGAAAAAAAAAGAUAUGCAAAUAUGCAAAUAGAAAAGAAGAAAGCAAGAAUGGAACAAAUUGAAGCUCACCGUCAAUCGAAACGCAACACAUCAUCCAAAGAUUCAAUAGCAAUGGAGAACCCUGAAUAUGUCGUAACUGAACAGGAGGAGAGCACUUCUACAUUUACUGUAAAACACAGGGAUCAUGUGGCAGCGGGAGAAAGGCAAGCGUUGCUACACCGUCGUAACGAAGAAUUCACAAGAAGACAUAAGCAAGCUAUUUCUGUAUCAUCAAAAGAAGAUGAAUCCAUGACGGAAACCUGCAACGAAAACACUCAGCCUCUAGAGCAGCCACAAGUCAUGACUUACGGUAAUAAUCUCAAUUUUAUACUUGCAUUCCAAGUAAAUAUAAAUCUGUCUGUACAACUAACCAUCUAUUUUGGACAGACAUCCCCUCCUCAAUGUUUCCAAGCAUCAGAGAAACAGAUACACCAACACAAUCAUUAUACAAUGAUGAUCACAGUAAAGUAACUAUGUGGAAGGACAUCCCCUGC